GACGAACGCUGGCGGCGUGCUUAACACAUGCAAGUCGAACGGUAAGGCCCUUCGGGGUACACGAGUGGCGAACGGGUGAGUAACACGUGGGUGAUCUGCCCUGCACUUCGGGAUAAGCCUGGGAAACUGGGUCUAAUACCGGAUAGGACCCUGGGAUGCAUGUCCUGGGGUGGAAAGCUUUUGCGGUGUGGGAUGGGCCCGCGGCCUAUCAGCUUGUUGGUGGGGUGAUGGCCUACCAAGGCGACGACGGGUAGCCGGCCGGAGAGGGUGACCGGCCACACUGGGACUGCGAUACGGCCCAGACUCCCACGGGAGGCAGCAGUGGGGAAUAUAGCACAAUGGGCGCAAGCCUGAUGCAGCGACGCCGCGUGAGGGAUGACGGCCUUCGGGUUGUAAACCUCUUUCAGCAUCGACGAAGCGAAAGUGACGGUAGGUGCAGAAGAAGGACCGGCCAACUACGUGCCAGCCGCCGCGGUAA
rnacentral:rRNA from 1 species